rnacentral:rRNA from 1 species
UACGUAGGCAGCAAGCGUUGUUCGGAGUUACUGGGCGUAAAGGGUGUGUAGGCGGUUUUCUAAGUCUGGUGUGAAAUCUCCCGGCUCAACUGGGAGGGUGCGCCGAAAACUGGAAGGCUAGAGUGCGGGAUGGGAGAGUGGAAUUCCUGGUGUAGCGGUGAAAUGCGUAGAUAUCAGGAGGAACACCUGUGGUGUAGACGGCUCUCUGGACCGCAACUGACGCUGAGACACGAAAGCGUGGGGUAGCAAACAGG